GACGAACGCUGGCGGCGUGCUUAACACAUGCAAGUCGAACGCUGAAGCCUGGCUUUUGUUGGGUGGAUGAGUGGCGAACGGGUGAGUAACACGUGAGUAACCUGCCCUCUUCUUUGGGAUAACGCCCGGAAACGGGUGCUAAUACUGGAUAUUCACUUGCCUUCGCAUGGGGGUGGGUGGAAAGGGUUUUUUCUGGUGGGGGAUGGGCUCGCGGCCUAUCAGCUUGUUGGUGGGGUGAUGGCUUACCAAGGCUUUGACGGGUAGCCGGCCUGAGAGGGUGACCGGUCACAUUGGGACUGAGAUACGGCCCAG
rnacentral:rRNA from 1 species